AUUCGAUGAUGGUAUUACAAAGAUGUUAAGUCUACCAAAGUUUAUGUACAAAUCAAAGCAUUCUUCGUACCCUAGCAGGAUGGAUUUCUUGGUUAACUGCUUUUAUAGUCAUGGGCCUCAAACCUAAGCGUUCUGUGAUUACUAGACAAGACUUCAGCCCUUCUAUUAAAAAUAGAAAUUGACAGGGUGAUUCCACAGCAUUGAGACCAAAAUGACAGGAUAGUUAAAACAAUGUUUAUUAAAAUGAUCACAUUCUACCUGAUUCCAGACUAGUCAAUAUAUUGUAAAAUUAUAAUGGGACUGAGAAAUAGACUUACACUUUAGAUUUUCAGCAAAUGUGCCAAAGUUCCCUGGAGCCAAUGCCUAUCUAACAGUUUCUGUAAUGAUUGAGCAUUAAUGUGAAGAAAGAAAAAAGAACUAUCUUGGGUACAACCUCCCAUCAUAUGUACUAAAAUGAAGUGUAGAUCUAAACCUUACACACCUAAAAAACGUGAGAGAAAGCUUAGUGUUUGGCUUGUUUUGUUUUUUGUUUUAAAUGUUUUCUUGCAGGAAGGUGAGUAAGUGUGAAGGAGGCAGAGAAAAGGACGACAAAGUUUGUUAUGUUUUAGAAGAAUUUGAACAAAAGGCCUUCAGGUGAGAAAUAAGUGCCAAAGCAUAUAAUUUGGCCAGCUUUGUGGCACAUAGGAGAAGAUGGAUUUUUUUCACAUCAGAUGCUUAGGUAGUAUGAUGAGGCAGUCCAUUUGAAAGUUAGAACAGACGUGGCCUGACACGAGUAGAUGUGUAGUUUUGACCCAUCAAAAGAAAGCUCUUUAUUGCUGAGUAAAAUAUUUAGAGAGAUAAAUAAUGGGCUUUCUGAAUAGAAGAAUCAUGUUAUUUGAAGGCAGCAAGAUGGAAGUGAAAAAUUUCAAUUGGAGAGAAUUUUAUUUUUAUUGUAUACAGUGAUAAGACCAAGAAAGUGUGAUACUUUGUAAGGCUGUUACUGGAGAUUUGUCAUAGGAAAGGUAAAAAUCUACAACAGAGCAGUGGAUAAAUUAUGGCACAUUCAUACAGUGUGCACAUAUGUAAAGGUUUUAUGUAUUAAGAAUACUACAGCAUACUAAGUAGGAGCAGAACAGCAUGUAACACAUAGUUCUGUUUUGCAGUAGAGGACAGGUACGAUAUACCAAGGGUUAAUGAGACAUGGAGUUAGGAACAUUUUUAACAUUUUUUACUUGUGUUUUUUAUAUAAAGAUUAUUAAGACAAAAUUUAUCUUAAAAGACUCUGGCU
rnacentral:lncRNA from 1 species